GUAAAAAUAAAUCCCUUCCACUGUCUGUAAAAACUCUCCAUUUGGAUGUGUGUAUAUUAGAUAUCACAGACCCAUCCUCAAUUUUGCGCAGGUCGCUUAUUUCAGCAUCAAUUCCAGUAGUUGCUGGAGGAGAAACUUCUUCUGCCAAGGCUGGAGUGACAAUUACUCCAAGGAUAAAAGCUGCAAUAGGAGAAAAUUCAGGUUGCUUAUUUCAGCAUUAAUUCCAGUAGUUGCUGGAGGAGAAACUUCUUCUGCCAAGGCUGGAGUGACAUUUACUCCAAGGAUAAAAGCUGCAAUAAUGCUUUAUAUAAUAGAUUUGUCGGCAAUUCACACUGUACAUGGUUUCAAUAAUGAAAUUUC
rnacentral:lncRNA from 1 species